CUUCGGAAGUGGCGGACGGGUGAGUAACACGUGGGAACGUGCCCUUUGGUUCGGAACAACUCAGGGAAACUUGAGCUAAUACCGAAUGUGCCCUUCGGGGGAAAGAUUUAUCGCCAUUGGAGCGGCCCGCGUCUGAUUAGCUAGUUGGUGAGGUAAAGGCUCACCAAGGCUACGAUCAGUAGCUGGUCUGAGAGGAUGAUCAGCCACAUUGGGACUGAGACACGGCCCAAACUCCUACGGGAGGCAGCAGUGGGGAAUCUUGCGCAAUGGGCGAAAGCCUGACGCAGCCAUGCCGCGUGAAUGAUGAAGGUCUUAGGAUUGUAAAAUUCUUUCACCGGGGACGAUAAUGACGGUACCCGGAGAAGAAGCCCCGGCUAACUUCGUGCCAGCAGCCGCGGUAAUACGAAGGGGGCUAGCGUUGCUCGGAAUUACUGGGCGUAAAGGGAGCGUAGGCGG
rnacentral:rRNA from 1 species